AACGAACGCUGGCGGCAUGCCUAACACAUGCAAGUCGAACGAGACCUUCGGGUCUAGUGGCGCACGGGUGCGUAACGCGUGGGAACCUGCCCUUAGGUUCGGAAUAACUCCCCGAAAGGGGUGCUAAUACCGGAUAAUGUCUUCGGACCAAAGAUUUAUCGCCUUUGGAUGGGCCCGCGUUGGAUUAGCUAGUUGGUAGGGUAAAAGCCUACCAAGGCGACGAUCCAUAGCUGGUCUGAGAGGAUGAUCAGCCACACUGGGACUGAGACACGGCCCAGACUCCUACGGGAAGCAGCAGUGGGGAAUAUUGGACAAUGGGCGAAAGCCUGAUCCAGCAAUGCCGCGUGAGUGAUGAAGGCCUUAUGGUUGUAAAGCUCUUUUACCCGGGAUGAUAAUGACAGUACCGGGAGAAUAAGCUCCGGCUAACUCCGUG
rnacentral:rRNA from 1 species